GAUCUUUAUAUAUUUUAUUAAUUUAAUAAUUAUUAGUUAUUUUUUAUUUUGAUUUAUAAGUGUAUUAUAUUGGGGUAAUAAUAAAAUUAAAAAAAUUUUUAUUUAAUAAAACAAUAAAUAUAUGAAUUUUUGAUCUUGUAUUAUUGAUUAAAAGAAAAAGUUACCUUAGGGAUAACAGCAUAAUGAUUUUUGAGAGUUCUUAUUGAUAAAAUAGUUUGU
rnacentral:rRNA from 1 species